UUGAACGCUGGCGGCAGGCCUAACACAUGCAAGUCGAACGGUAACAGGAAGAAGCUUGCUUCUUUGCUGACGAGUGGCGGACGGGUGAGUAAUGUCUGGGAAACUGCCUGAUGGAGGGGGAUAACUACUGGAAACGGUAGCUAAUACCGCAUAACGUCGCAAGACCAAAGAGGGGGACCUUCGGGCCUCUUGCCAUCGGAUGUGCCCAGAUGGGAUUAGCUAGUAGGUGGGGUAACGGCUCACCUAGGCGACGAUCCCUAGCUGGUCUGAGAGGAUGACCAGCCACACUGGAACUGAGACACGGUCCAGACUCCUACGGGAGGCAGCAGUGGGGAAUAUUGCACAAUGGGCGCAAGCCUGAUGCAGCCAUGCCGCGUGUAUGAAGAAGGCCUUCGGGUUGUAAAGUACUUUCAGCGGGGAGGAAGGGAGUAAAGUUAAUACCUUUGCUCAUUGACGUUACCCGCAGAAGAAGCACCGGCUAACUCCGUGCCAGCAGCCGCGGUAGUACGGAGGGUGCAAGCGUUAAUCGGAAUUACUGGGCGUAAAGCGCACGCAGGCGGUUUGUUAAGUCAGAUGUGAAAUCCCCGGGCUCAACCUGGGAACUGCAUCUGAUACUGGCAAGCUUGAGUCUCGUAGAGGGGGGUAGAAUUCCAGGUGUAGCGGUGAAAUGCGUAGAGAUCUGGAGGAAUACCGGUGGCGAAGGCGGCCCCCUGGACGAAGACUGACGCUCAGGUGCGAAAGCGUGGGGAGCAAACAGGAUUAGAUACCCUGGUAGUCCACGCCGUAAACGAUGUCGACUUGGAGGUUGUGCCCUUGAGGCGUGGCUUCCGGAGCUAACGCGUUAAGUCGACCGCCUGGGGAGUACGGCCGCAAGGUUAAAACUCAAAUGAAUUGACGGGGGCCCGCACAAGCGGUGGAGCAUGUGGUUUAAUUCGAUGCAACGCGAAGAACCUUACCUGGUCUUGACAUCCACGGAAGUUUUCAGAGAUGAGAAUGUGCCUUCGGGAACCGUGAGACAGGUGCUGCAUGGCUGUCGUCAGCUCGUGUUGUGAAAUGUUGGGUUAAGUCCCGCAACGAGCGCAACCCUUAUCCUUUGUUGCCAGCGGUCCGGCCGGGAACUCAAAGGAGACUGCCAGUGAUAAACUGGAGGAAGGUGGGGAUGACGUCAAGUCAUCAUGGCCCUUACGACCAGGGCUACACACGUGCUACAAUGGCGCAUACAAAGAGAAGCGACCUCGCGAGAGCAAGCGGACCUCAUAAAGUGCGUCGUAGUCCGGAUUGGAGUCUGCAACUCGACUCCAUGAAGUCGGAAUCGCUAGUAAUCGUGGAUCAGAAUGCCACGGUGAAUACGUUCCCGGGCCUUGUACACACCGCCCGUCACACCAUGGGAGUGGGUUGCAAAAGAAGUAGGUAGCUUAACCUUCGGGAGGGCGCUUACCACUUUGUGAUUCAUGACUGGGGUG
rnacentral:rRNA from 1 species